GACGAACCGAGCGAACGUUGUUCGGAAUCACUGGGCUUAAAGGGCGCGUAGGCGGGCUGCCACGUCUGCGGUGAAAUCCUCCAGCUUAACUGGAGAACGGCCGCGGAUACUGGCGGUCUCGAGGGAGGUAGGGGCAAGCGGAACUGUGCGUGGAGCGGUGAAAUGCGUUGAUAUGCACAGGAACUCCGGUGGCGAAGGCGGCUUGCUGGACCUCUUCUGACGCUGAGGCGCGAAAGCUAGGGGAGCGAACGGG
rnacentral:rRNA from 1 species